AAAUUGCAUCCCUCCAGUCUUGAGUCCACUCCACAGUGUACCUUGCCAUCGUCAAGAGCACGAGAUUUAGAAUCAGAUGGACCCGGGUUAGUAUUCUGGGGCUGCCGUUUUGCCAGCCAUGUGAUUUUGACCCUGUGAUUUCUAGCUUCAAUGAGUCUGUCUGUAAAAUGGGGAUAGUAAUACCUACCUGUGGCCCAUGCUUUCUGCUGUCUCCUCUGUACCCACUGCCUCUCUGCUGCACAGAACCUUGAUAGGUUCAGGUGAGAGGAAGGAGGCCCCAGAUCUCAGGGAAGCUGCAAUCCCAGCCUCAUGAGAUGAAUCAAGAUUGGUUAAAACCAAAUACAGUAACGGCAGGGGGAGCUCAUUCUUAUCUUUUCUUCCUGCCUGGAUCUUGGACACGAUACCUGGAGGUACAGCAGCCGUCUUGCAACCAUGAGGCGACGGGUCAACAGACUAAAAUGGUGGAGGGGAAAAGAUAGAGUCUGGAUCUUUGACAGCACUCUUAAGUGGUUCCACCAGCCCAAGACAGAAGACUACUACUUCCAGACUUUGUUACUGAAACACUUCCUACUUGUUUAUGCCACUCUUAAGCGGAGUUGUCUUUUAGUUGCUGCUGAAAGCAUUUCUAAUAGAUAUGCAGAUUUCCACCAAAGCACAGUGUUGGACAGCUUCAUAUGGUGCUAAAGAGCCUAAAUUCCAGAGCCGGAGUUUCUGGGUUCUGGUCUCAGCUCUGCCACUAACGAGCUGUAUGACCUGGGCAAGUCGCUUAGCUUCUCUGUGACUCACUGUCCUGAUCUAUACAACGCUCACUCAAUGUGUGCUGAGUAUUGGGUGAAGGAUAAUAGCCGUACGUCCCUUGUACGAUAGUUAGGAGCAUUAAAUGACUAAAUGUUGUUUUUU